rnacentral:rRNA from 1 species
AGCUCCAAUAGCGUAUAUUAAAGUUGCUGCAGUUAAAAAGCUCGUAGUUGCAUUUCCGAGGCAAGGGAUUAGUCCGACCUUUGGUGGGUAUUUAAUCCUCUUGCCUCGUCCUUGAGUGGUGCUUCUUGGUAUUAAGUUAUCGAGGAGAUAGCCGCUCAUCGUUUACUGUGAGAAAAUUAGAGUGUUCAAAGCAGGCUUAUGCCGUUGAAUAUAUUAGCAUGGAAUAAUAAGAUAGGACCUCGGUACGAUUUGGUUGGUUUGAGAACCAAGGUAAUGAUGAAUAGGGACAGUUGGGGGUAUUCGUAUUCAGUUGUCAGAGGUGAAAUUCUUAGAUUUACGGAAGACGAACUACUGCGAAAGCAUUUACCAAGGAUGUUUUCA